rnacentral:lncRNA from 1 species
GAGAAGAACCCGUCAUUCUUCGUUGCUGACAUUCGUAGCACAGACUUCCGAUUGGGCUCAGCAGGAAGAGAAGGAAGAUGGAGCUACAUGGGAGAAUCAAGGUGAACCUAAAUGGGGAAGCGAGACUGAAAGCAACGAAGGUGAUGGUGAGGUUGGGGGUUACGAAGAACCGUCUGAGGAAUUGAAGAUUUUUGUUGGGAAUUUGCCGUUUGAUGUUGAUAGUGAGAAAUUGGCUCGGCUUUUUGAACAGACUCCAGGGACUGUGGAGAUUGCUGAG